rnacentral:misc_RNA from 1 species
AAAGUCGUAACAAGGUUUCCGUAGGUGAACCUGCGGAAGGAUCAUUAACACGUCUAACAACGUUUUUCUGAUGAAAACCCCUCUGUGAACCUUUAUUAAGUCCUGGUGCUUCUCUUCAUUGAGUUGCAUCGGGCAAACCUCACAAACUUCAAAUCCUGCAGAGAUUCACGUCUCCUCAGGUCGUUGCGAAGUGUGUGUUCACAACACACGCCGAGUAGCGUUAACCCAAACAAAACCCUUAAACCUUACUGCUCUGAAAAAUCCUAACUCUGGUCAGCCUCUCUCUCACGCUUGCGUGUGUUGGGGUUUCCCAAGUUAACCAAAACAAAAAAACAACUCUUAACAACGGAUAUCUUGGUUCUC